AACGCACGAGACCUGCGGACCUGCGGAAGGAUCAUUACCGAGUUAUCAACUCCCAAACCCCUGUGAACAUACCCGAACGUUGCCUCGGCGGGACCGCCCCGGCGCCCCUAGCGGCCCGGAACCAGGCGCCCGCCGGAGGACCCAAACUCUUGCUUUAAACAGUGGCAUACUCUCUGAGUCUCACGAACAAAAAAUAAAUCAAAACUUUUAACAACGGAUCUCUAGAUCGGAAGAGCACAC
rnacentral:misc_RNA from 1 species